rnacentral:rRNA from 1 species
GACGAACGCUGACGGUGUGCUUUAGACAUGCAAGUCGACCGAGAAAGCCCUUCGGGUUAGUAAAGCGGCGAACGGGUGAGUAACACGUGGGCAAUCUGCCCCUCGCGAGGGGGACGAACCGGGGGAAACUCCGGCUAAUACCCCGUAAGUUUCCAGAGUCGCAUGGCUUUGGAAAGAAAGGUAGCUUCGGCCAUCCGGCGAGGGAUGAGCCCGCGGUACAUUAGCUAGUUGGGUGGGGUAACGGCCUACCAAGGCGGCGAUGAUAGCUGGUCUGAGAGGAUGAUCAGCCACACUGGGGACUGAGACACCGGCCCAGACUCCUACGGGGA